rnacentral:lncRNA from 1 species
GGAGAACCAGCAGCCCAGAAUCAGUGCCCUGCCAGGCAGAAUUGCUUGGCCAUAACAAAGAUCCAUUGCCUUUCUGAUGACACCCAGCACCUCGGAUUCUGUAUACACGGGAGGUGAUUUAAGCAUCUUACUGCCACCCUGAAAUCUGGGGUCCUUUAUCCUGGCAGCAUCUAGACCCGUAACGCCCACUUCAGAAUGGGAGGGAGGAUGUCUGCUGCCCUGUCGUCUCCACACCCGAGGAAUGUCCGUGUGUGUGUGUGUGUGGUGUGCACAGCGGGCUGCACACAGCGGGCUCCACGGUGCUCGAAUGGAGGCCCUAAUGUGAAUGGAGACUAGCCUGCUGGUAGAGACCUUGGCAGUGACCGCUGUGGGCAAUGAGCCAUGGGCCAACAAUAUUCAAUGCUGUGUACCUGAUGGAUGGUUACUGUCUGAGACUGAGGCUUUUUGGGCCAGGAGUAAAAGGACUUGGUUUGUACUUGAUUGCGUCCUGUGGAUGCUUGCCUACCAACUGACUCAUCCUGACGUGCCAAAGGUCCUGGCUUUCCCCUGUGUGGGUAAGGGAAGAAGAGAGUUCUGACCCCUGAUUUAAUUAUUUACUGUGGAACCAUUGUCCUGAGUCAGGAGGAUAGAUGAGGAAAGAAUGAGAGCGUGGCUGGCAUCGCUUCAUGAUUACAUUCUGGGAAAGAUCUUGCCUGUUAACCUCUAGAGAAGGAGGGACGAUACAGACGAGGUUCAUGCUGCCAUAUCCCCCUGUUUAACAAGUGUGGAAACUGAUUUGUAGGAACAAACCAUCCCAUAUGCAACCAGACAGCUCCAUUCUGUUUUCACCGGCCCUGUGAGAUCUACACACUCAGUUCUGGGUGAGAAGACACAGAAUGGACUCACAAUUGCUGAUGUAUAGGUUCUAAUGUUUUCUAUUGUGGACACGGGACACCCAGACUGAGAACCAAUGGCUCCAGUCUGAUUUAAACAUGGGUCCGUGCUCACACACUCAAUACCUACCCUCUGUGCUCACAAGUCCUGUGUGAGUAAGACUCCAAAUUAUUCUGUCUUGUUUUACUCAAUGGUAUGCUCUACCUUAUUAUAGAGUAUACCAUGUAUUGAGACAAGAAUGCCAGUCAUUCUGAGAAACAAAAUGCAACCAUUAGUUGUCAUUUUAAUUAGUGACGAAUAGUUGUGUCAAUCAUCAAACAUGCUUGUAUAAUUGGAUGAGAAGAGGUGUAACACGGGCCAAUGAUGACGAGGUUUCGGGAUUAUAAGUCACGGACGAUGACUACGUCACUAGAGGUCUGAGGUCCAUAGCAGAAGAUGCCUCAUGUGACCCUCUCAUGCAGGGGUUGCAUGUCAGGCAUGUGCAUACAGUAGAUAUUAGCCAUGCACUCU